rnacentral:rRNA from 1 species
CCUACGGGUGGCUGCAGUGGGGAAUAUUGGACAAUGGGCGAAAGCCUGAUCCAGCCAUGCCGCGUGUGUGAAGAAGGCCUUCGGGUUGUAAAGCACUUUCAGUGGGGAAGAAAGCCUUGGGGCUAAUACCCUCGAGGAAGGACAUCACCCACAGAAGAAGCACCGGCUAACUCCGUGCCAGCAGCCGCGGUAAUACGGAGGGUGCGAGCGUUAAUCGGAAUUACUGGGCGUAAAGCGCGCGUAGGCGGUCUGAUAAGCCGGUUGUGAAAGCCCCGGGCUCAACCUGGGAACGGCAUCCGGAACUGUCAGGCUAGAGUGCAGGAGAGGAAGGUAGAAUUCCCGGUGUAGCGGUGAAAUGCGUAGAGAUCGGGAGGAAUACCAGUGGCGAAGGCGGCCUUCUGGACUGACACUGACGCUGAGGUGCGAAAGCGUGGGUAGCAAACAGGAUUAGAUACCCUGGUAGUC